UAACCCUAAUUUUAACCAGUAAGAGACUAAGAGCUCGUAAGAUGACUCGGAGGGUCAUGGAGUUUGAUGUUCAUUGCCUCAAAUUGCGUUCAAAUUGUCACUUCGGACCAUUAUUCUUUUGCAAGAGAGCAAUUAAAUGUGAGUGAAACUCUGGUUAGGUGGUUUCUGUACACACAGUGCGGAAAUUGCUUGGAGUUGGCAUCGGUGUUCCCAAAAGCUGAGAAAAUCCAAAGGCAUGCAGAACUUCAGUGUCAAUAGUGUAUACAGAUUGUAACAGCUAUAAUCUACAGUUCACUGUGGGAGACCCUCAAUGUGUCAUCAACAUUAAAUCUACAAUUAAUACAUGAAAGGAUUUUGAAGGUGUUCAAUGCUGAAAAAUCAAAGAACUACGGGUAUUUGUGUGUGCUGAUUGGUAAAGUUUCAUGAAGAGGAGUCUGGCAGAGACGAUGGCACUUUCUCAUCUAAGCUGAUCUAUGGCUAUGUCAGAAAUGGUGAAAAUAGAUUAAUUUAUGUUUUCUCCCAAAACCAGUGAUGGCAAACCUAGAGUGACUGGAACAUCUAAAGUUCUACAAAAUAUUGUCCCAAAGUUGUGUGAAUUUUUUCCUGCCACAUAAAUUUAUCAAUUGUAUCUAAACAAGUUGGUCUGUAUUAUGGAUCCUCUA